AGCAAAAAUGAAUAUCAUUUUACUGUGGUAUUGUAAUUAUUUUGAUAUUAAACACAGAAAGAAUAAAUUGAUACAUUUCCUAUUGGCUCUGAAACC
rnacentral:ribozyme from 13 species